UACGAAGGGGACUAGCGUUGUUCGGAAUCACUGGGCGUAAAGCGCACGUAGGCGGAUUCGUAAGUCAGGGGUGAAAUCCCGGGGCUCAACCUCGGAACUGCCUUUGAUACUGCGGGUCUUGAGUCCGAUAGAGGUGGGUGGAAUUCCUAGUGUAGAGGUGAAAUUCGUAGAUAUCGGGAGGAACACCGGUGGCGAAGGCGGCGACCUGGGUUGAUAUUGACGCUGAGGCGCGAAAGCGUGGGGAGCAAACAGG
rnacentral:rRNA from 1 species